GCCCGUUUAGCUCAGUUGGUAGAGCGCACGGCUCUUAAUCUUGUGAUCGUGGGUUCGAGCUCCACGGUGGGAG